CCACUGGAGCAGAGUGGAACUCUACGGGUCACCUCCGGGGAACAAAGACUUGCCCCACCUAGGAGAGAACACAACCAUACCACAAAGCUAGAAGGAUUCUUGGUCUGCAAAUAGAAUGUAAAGGAAAGGCCCGGACUUGCAGGCCGGGGACUCCUCAGCCACCCUCAGCAUAGGCCAGCCUCGUCGUUGGUGCAGCACAGGUGUGAGCAAACUGGCUUUGAAGACAUCGGUCGCUAGAGCACCUGGGAGGCCAGACCCAGGCUGUACAGGAGCCCACAAGCCCGAGUCCAAAGGUUCACGAAAGCCAAUGGGGAUCACGGUUUUAGAAAACUCACAGGAGAGGAACUGCCAUUUGGCUUCGUGCAGGGGUGAGGAAAGAGCCGUGGCCUUGCUCUCCUGGAUGUUGCUUUACCAUUAAAUGGGUGAGGCUGGGCUUCUCAUCACCUCACAUCAGAGGGAAGCUCUGUGAAAAUGGAAUUACCCGUCAAGGGGCACAGACUUUGGCAGGUGGAAUCGAUGCAGCUGGCCUCACAGGAAGCAGGUUUAGACUGGUCCCUUCUGGCUUCUCCCCUGCUUGAACAGUGAGUUGGGAGUUCCAUAGCACUGGCCUGGUAACUGCUCCUGUAGAAGAAGCUAUGGUCUCUCAAUGGAGGAAGAGGCUUCAACACAGAAUCUUAAAGCAAGACAAAUGGACCCUUAACAAGGCAAAAAUGCACACCGAGCAUCAUCUGGACCCCAGUAUGUGCAUCUAUCAAGAGCAAUUUCUUUGAAGGUUCUUCCUGACACCCGACAUUGCAGAGUCUUCCUGUUCACCUGACACAGAAGAUUCUGGUGGAGCAACACUCUCUGAACCUCCCAGGAUGGGGGCAGCCCUAAGAUCACGGCACGAGUGGCUGACAGCGGGAAUGAUACAGCCUUGUCCCGGGAAGAUGGGAUCCAGGUUCUUGCGUUUCGUAGCAUGUGGGCCAUUGAGAAGCAUUUUGUCCAGACUGUAGUACAGGGUGAAACUGACCUAGAAUUGCCUGGCUUCUCUCCUCCCACUAUCAGCUGCUGUGACCAGAAACACAAGAAGAGGAAUGAAAAACCAAAAAAAGAAACACUGAAGGCUAUGGGCAUCUUUGGUUCUUUCUGGGACAUUGAGCUGCAGAUAGCCUGAAGAGGAAUCUUAGAAAGACCUUGAGGAAUCUUCCCAGGAAGGCCCAUCAGAAUCCCUCCAUCCAUUCACUCUGUAUUCUGCCCUCUGUUGUGGUCACAUGGAUGGAAGGAGGUGGAAUCAUCAGAACCCCUUUGUCCUUCACUGUGUGUCCUGUUCCUAUUGUGGUCACAUGGUUCUGUCAGCCACAAGCAUUACACAGUAAAAGUACAACUGACAGGUCAGUUUGUCAGUGACAAACCCACAGGAGCAGUGAGGAGCCUGAUUUUCAGAGCUCUGGGAACACCUGUCUGUUGAAUAGUCACUGUCAAUUCUGUAGAAAUCUUUUGAAGCCACGACGUGUCUCCCUUCCAUAAUGGGACUCUUCCCGAAGUACCCCAGCAGUGCAUAAAUCAUUCAUUGAGACAGCUUCUUCUUGUAUGGGCAACCGAAUGAACUUCUCCAUAUUGUGGGGCCCUGGUGUGAAAGUGUUCACUCAGCCAAAUCUUUGUUCUCAUAGUCAAAUCUACAUAAAACCAGUUCCCCACAA